UACGGAGGAUGCAAGCGUUAUCCGGAUUUAUUGGGUUUAAAGGGUGCGUAGGCGGGAAAUAAGUCAGUGGUGAAAUCCUACAGCUUAACUGUAGAAUUGCCGUUGAUACUGUUUUCUUGAGUAUGGUCAAGGAAGGCGGAAUGUGUAAUGUAGCGGUGAAAUGCUUAGAUAUUACACAGAACACCAAUUGCGAAGGCAGCUUUCAGGCCCAUUACUGACGCUGAGGCACGAAAGCGUGGGGAUCGAACAGGAUUAGAUACCUGGGUAGU
rnacentral:rRNA from 1 species